AUCGCUUCUCGGCCUUUUGGCUAAGAUCAAGUGUAGGACUUGUAUGCAAUGUAAUGCAUUUUUCUGUGAAAAACAGCAUUCUGAGAAGAGGGUAGGUUGUUUGAUUGGCUCAUAAAAGCCAACGUAACCGUAAAGUAUGUAACAAGCACAGCACCCCAAACACCUUUUCAGGUGCACCCGCC